CCGAGUUUACAACUCCCAAACCCAAAUGUGAACGCUACCAAACUGUUGCCUCGGCGGGAUCUCUGCCCCGGGCGCGUCGCAGCCCCGGACCAAGGCGCCCGCCGGAGGACCAACCCCAAACUCUCUUCGUAUAAACCCCCUCGCGGGUUCUCUUACUUUCUGAGCCUUUCUCGGCGCCCCUAGCGGGCGUUUCGAAAAUGAAUCA
rnacentral:misc_RNA from 1 species